UCUUUGGCUUCAAAGCCUCCAGAACCUCUGAGACUGAUGUGAUUUACUGAAACCAUUUUUGAGAAGGCUGAACUCCACAUUCACUUCAGGAAAGGUUAAAGAGGAAAUCCCACAUUUCAGAAAUCAGCAUGUGCAUUGAAUUCAUGCUGUUAAUGAGGAUCUGCCUGAUCCAUGGUUUGUGCCCUGGGGCUGCUGGAGUCCUGAGGGGUGCAAUGGGGACAGAGGCUCUGAUCUGUGUGGGGACAGAUGCUGGGAAGAAGGUGGAAUAACAGAGAAAAUGCUCAGCAAAUCAUUUUUGGCCACACUGUGGAGCACGAUCCUGUUUUCCACACCUGCUGGGCUGAGUUGCCACUUCCUCUUUUUUAACCCAAAUGAAAGGUGCAGCUGAGAUCCAAAGCACUGGACAUCCACCGGGACACUCUUUGGGAUUCAUCAGUCACAAGAGAUAAAGAUGAAGUCAGGGCUCUGUGUGUGGUUAGAGGGAAGGAAUCUGCCUGGUUGAGGGCUCCCCUGUGAGCUCAUUCUCCCACACCCCAAACAAACCAAUGUCCCUGCAAAGAAUCAAUUCCUGCCUCUGCCUGCUUGUGCUUUUGGCAGUCAGGGAACACUCCUGAGGUGGAUGAGUGAAUAAGCUGAACUGUGUGGCAUUAGCCUGAUACCUGUGAGUUGUGAGCCUCUCCAGGAAGUUUGGCACUGGAUUUUUCAAGGAAAAAAAAGAUUUUUAAACUGUGGAUGCUGCUGUAGUCAUCUAGAAAAAAAAAAAAAAAAAUCAGGCAUAGAAACACACACUUCCCAAGGAGAGCUAAACAUUAUCCAAGGAGAUGCCAUAACACAGGCAAUAACUGAGGGAAGCGAAGCAUUAGGCUUUUAGGGAAGAUAAUUGAAUUUAUUGAGCUUUCCUGACGUGCUGGUGCCUCCUGUGUUACCUGGUGCCUCUGAAAGGGAUUUCACAGAGAGGCAUAUCUGAUCGAUGAUGUGGCCCUGGAGUCUCACUGCACCAAAGCUCCACACUUCCCAUCAAAGUUUUCCAGCAAAAAGGGGGAGACCACAGGACACAGCACCAGACACGCAGAUGCAAUUGGUAAAACUGGAGAUGUUCUGCUUUUACCAUGUAUCCAUGCUCAGGUUGAUCCAAGGCUUUUUGUUACUGUGAAUAUCAAGGAUGACUAAAAAAUAUA